GUCCUCACCGUAAACGAUGUGUACUUGAUGUAGAUGGGCUCAACCCUGUCUGUGUCGAAGCUAACGUGAUAAGUACACCGCCUGAGGAGUACGCUCGCAAGGGUGAAACUCAAAAGAAUUGACGGGGGCCCGCACAAGCAGUGGAGCAUGUGGUUUAAUUCGAUGCAACGCGAAGAACCUUACCCAGGCUUGACAUCUAGUGGACGAUUACAGAGAUGUGAUUUCCCUUCGGGGCCGCUAGAC
rnacentral:rRNA from 1 species